ACAAGGGCUGGAAAACAAUUGCAAAGAAUUCUACAUAACAAAAAAAUAGAUUUUUCAAGGAGCAAGAAACAGAGGCUACAAUGCUUCUCGACUACUUCAGACCUUCUUUAGGUCACGAUUGAGUAUUUGAUCGUUGAGUUGAUUACAAGAAUUGGAACUUACAUUAUUGCUUGAAAGGAGAAAUUGAGGUUUUGUCCCCUGUCGUUGAGACUCAUUGAGGAUGGUACCGGCGUUCUCUUUUGGGAACCUGCGUUGGUCUGCGGUACAACGUAGGAACCGGUUUUGCAGGAGAGCAGGCUACAGGUUAGGACUUCCCUCACUUCCAGUGUUAUUGGUAAAGUUAAAGGGAGGAUCAGUGUCUCAUGCUGAGGUCUUUGCGGAGACACGUAAGAAAAAGAAAAAGGACGGUUCAAGAGAAGGAUGAGUUGAGACACGUGCAUCAGAAACAUAUGUAAGAUCAUAUUCUUGGAUGUUUAGACUUUAUAUUUAGAUUUUAUGGUAGGUUUGGAUGUUGUGGUAUAUAUGUUUAGACUUUAUUAUAUUAAUGUCGAUGUGUAUUAGCUAUUUAGACUUGAUAUUGAAUAUUUAGACUUUAAUUAAUGUUUUGGUUUGAUAUUAUGGGAUUUAAA